AACUUCUUAAGAGGCUGCUCACACCCCUGCAGGAGUCAGUCCCUGUCAGGACGCAGCAUGGCCAUGAGGGCUCCUGCUCAGCUCCUGGGGCUCCUGCUGCUCUGCCUACCAGGUGCCAAAUGUGACAUUAUAAUGACCCAGUCUCCAGCCUCCCUGUCUAAAUCUCAAGGAGAAACAGUCACCAUCAGGUGCCAGGCCAGUCAGGGUAUUGGCAAUGAAUUAAGCUGGUACCAGCAGAAACCAGGGCAAGCGCCUAAGCUCCUGAUCUAUGGUGCCAACCGUUUGCACUCUGGGGUCCCCUCGAGGUUCAGUGGCAGUGGAUCUGGGACAGAUUAUUCUCUCACCAUCAGCAGCCUGGAGCCUGAAGAUUUUGCCACUUAUUUCUGUCAACAAGAUUACAGUUACCCUCCCACACACUCAGCCAUCAGAUCAGGCCCACAAGAUUUGGUGUCCCUUAAGGUGUGUGUGCCCUGCUCUGUGCAGUAG